UUAAUAUUCCUGUACUUGGUGUUACUGCGAAGGGGGGACGGAGAAGGCUAUGUUGGCCGGGCGACGGUUGUCCCGGUUUAAGCGUGUAGGCUGGUUUUCCAGGCAAAUCCGGAAAAUCAAGGCUGAGGCGUGAUGACGAGGCACUACGGUGCUGAAGCAACAAAUGCCCUGCUUCCAGGAAAAGCCUCUAAGCAUCAGGUAACAUCAAAUCGUACCCCAAACCGACACAGGUGGUCAGGUAGAGAAUACCAAGGCGCUUGAGAGAACUCGGGUGAAGGAACUAGGCAAAAUGGUGCCGUAACUUCGGGAGAAGGCACGCUGAUAUGUAGGUGAAGCGACUUGCUCGUGGAGCUGAAAUCAGUCGAAGAUACCAGCUGGCUGCAACUGUUUAUUAAAAACACAGCACUGUGCAAACACGAAAGUGGACGUAUACGGUGUGACGCCUGCCCGGUGCCGGAAGGUUAAUUGAUGGGGUCAGCGCAAGCGAAGCUCUUGAUCGAAGCCCCGGUAAACGGCGGCCGUAACUAUAACGGUCCUAAGGUAGCGAAAUUCCUUGUCGGGUAAGUUCCGACCUGCACGAAUGGCGUAAUGAUGGCCAGGCUGUCUCCACCCGAGACUCAGUGAAAUUGAACUCGCUGUGAAGAUGCAGUGUACCCGCGGCAAGACGGAAAGACCCCGUGAACCUUUACUAUAGCUUGACACUGAACAUUGAGCCUUGAUGUGUAGGAUAGGUGGGAGGCUUUGAAGUGUGGACGCCAGUCUGCAUGGAGCCGACCUUGAAAUACCACCCUUUAAUGUUUGAUGUUCUAACGUGGACCCGUGAUCCGGGUUGCGGACAGUGUCUGGUGGGUAGUUUGACUGGGGCGGUCUCCUCCUAAAGAGUAACGGAGGAGCACGAAGGUUGGCUAAUCCUGGUCGGACAUCAGGAGGUUAGUGCAAUGGCAUAAGCCAGCUUGACUGCGAGCGUGACGGCGCGAGCAGGUGCGAAAGCAGGUCAUAGUGAUCCGGUGGUUCUGAAUGGAAGGGCCAUCGCUCAACGGAUAAAAGGUACUCCGGGGAUAACAGGCUGAUACCGCCCAAGAGUUCAUAUCGACGGCGGUGUUUGGCACCUCGAUGUCGGCUCAUCACAUCCUGGGGCUGAAGUAGGUCCCAAGGGUAUGGCUGUUCGCCAUUUAAAGUGGUACGCGAGCUGGGUUUAGAACGUCGUGAGACAGUUCGGUCCCUAUCUGCCGUGGGCGCUGGAGAACUGAGGGGGGCUGCUCCUAGUACGAGAGGACCGGAGUGGACGCAUCACUGGUGUUCGGGUUGUCAUGCCAAUGGCACUGCCCGGUAGCUAAAUGCGGAAGAGAUAAGUGCUGAAAGCAUCUAAGCACGAAACUUGCCCCGAGAUGAGUUCUCCCUGACUCCUUGAGAGUCCUGAAGGAACGUUGAAGACGACGACGUUGAUAGGCCGGGUGUGUAAGCGCAGCGAUGCGUUGAGCUAACCGGUACUAAUGAACCGUGAGGCUUAACCUUACAACGCCG
rnacentral:rRNA from 1 species